rnacentral:tRNA from 1 species
GGGUAGUUAGUCUAAAUUAAAAUACUUGAUUUCGGCUCAAGAGCUUGUGGUGAGAGCCCACAAUUACCUU